UUCGUUGCAUUACGAGAUCUAUCAGAUCUCUUGCAGGACUUUUGUAUUGUGCGUUGAAUAUAAUAGUGUUGUUUCACUCCUUGCGGGAGGAUCUAACGUGUAAAGUUCUUUAGGUAUGAGUACGACAAAUAUACAUAUUUGCUUCCUACUUAAAGAUGAAUUCAAGGACAUUAAAAAAGAAAUUAGAGAUGGAUUAGGUCCCUAACGCACAGUACUGUAAUUAUUUUCAUUCCUUGCGUUAGGAGAUAUGUCGGUACUCGUGGAAUCGUACGCCUCGUAGACGCAAGAGAGGGAAGGUGGGCGGCGCGGGCGCUGCGUGACUCGUUUUAGUGUUGUCCUAGCAUCGACGUGGGAUUUCGCGCGCGCUAAAAUCUCUCCAGAAACUUAGAAUUACCUGAAGGAAGAUGUACUCAUCAUGUUUUCCAACGUGGCGACAAAAAAAGACGUUGUGUGGGUUGUUACGAAAAAUUACGACGCACAUUAAACAGCACUGACGCUUCUAAAAAAACUAAACGAAUUGUUACUAUUUGCGCGCAAUGCAAGCAAUCAAUGUGCUUACCAUGUUUUAAUGAAAAACACUUUGCAUAAAAAACUUUUUCAAUCGAUAACUGAGAUAUUAUUUUAUUCCCAUCACUACUUACUACACAUAUUGAACUAUCUUCCGUUGCGGUACGAGAUACAAUCGAUAUCAUUUUUUUUUUUGGUUUUUGUAGUUUAUUCAAAUGUCAUAACUGCGUGCGAACCUA